rnacentral:rRNA from 1 species
AUUGAACGCUGGCGGCAGGCCUAACACAUGCAAGUCGAGCGGAUGAAGGGAGCUUGCUCCUGGAUUCAGCGGCGGACGGGUGAGUAAUUCCUAGGUAUCUGCCUUGUAGUGGGGGAUAACGUCCCGAAACGGGCGCUUAUACCGUAUCCGUCCUUAGUGAGAAAGGGGGGGUUCUUCCGACCUCACGCUAUUUGAUGUGCUGAGGUCGGUUUUUCUAGUUGGUGGGGUAAAGGCCUACCAAGGCGACGAUCCGUAACUGGUGUGAUAGGAUGAUCAGUCACACUGGAACUGAGACACGGUCCAGACUCCUACGGGAGGCAGCAGUGGGGAAUAUUGGACAAUGGGCGAAAUCCUGAUCCAGCAAUGCCGCGUGGGUGAAGAAGGUCUUCGGAUUGUAAAGCACGUUAAGUUGGGAGAAAGGGCAGUAAGUUAAAAACUUGCUGUUUUGACGUUACCAACAGAAUAAGCACCGGCUAACUACGUG